rnacentral:tRNA from 1 species
GAGGGCGUAGUUCAGUGGUAUAGUAGAACACGUGCUUAGAAUAUUCUGAGGUUCUGGGUUCGAUUCCCAGCACUGUUA